GCCGGGCUCAGUAACGAGGGCUUGUCACCCAAGUGGGGGCUUAAAGGUGGUGGGACAUUGGCUCAGCCCAGUGGGCCGGGUCUGUUGUGGCUAUAUUCUGGCAUGCCCGUUCCAAGCCGAGAGUUGGGCCGUGCGACCUGGGCGAAGGCCCAAGUUUCGCGGUCACUAGAGUGGAGGGCACCGCGUGAGGCUGGUUUCACAGAGCAGCGCAAACCUCCCGCUCUCGGCAGUGGAAGGAUAACAGGCUGGUGCUACUCAGAUCCAAACAUGACCAAAUGGGCAGUUCCUAAUCGAACCACCACUUUU
rnacentral:SRP_RNA from 1 species